AGGGUUUGAUCAUGGCUCAGGAUGAACGCUAGCGGCAGGCCUAACACAUGCAAGUCGAACGGUAACAGGAGAAGCUUGCUUUUCGCUGACGAGUGGCGAACGGGUGCGUAACACGUAUGCAGCCUACCUUUAACUGAGGGAUAGCCCAAAGAACCUUGGAUUAAUACCUCAUAAUAAUAUUCAUUCGCAUGUUUGAAUAUUUAAAGCUCCGGCGGUAGAAGAUGGUCAUGCGUGACAUUAGCUAGUUGGUAAGGUAACGGCUUACCAAGGCGACGAUGUCUAGGGGUUCUGAGAGGGUUAUCCCCCACACUGGUACUGAGACACGGACCAGACUCCUACGGGAGGCAGCAGUGAGGAAUAUUGGGCAAUGGACGAAAGUCUGACCCAGCCAUGCCGCGUGCAGGAAGAAUGCCCUAUGGGUUGUAAACUGCUUUUAUACAGGAAGAAACCCUUGAACGUGUUCGAGGCUGACGGUACUGUAUGAAUAAGCACCGGCUAACUCCGUGCCAGCAGCCGCGGUAAUACGGAGGGUGCAAGCGUUAUCCGGAUUUAUUGGGUUUAAAGGGUGCGUAGGCGGAAGUAUAAGUCAGUGGUGAAAGCCCACAGCUCAACUGUGGAACUGCCAUUGAUACUGAACUUCUUGAAUCUAGUUGAAGUAGGCGGAACAUGACAUGUAGCGGUGAAAUGCUUAGAUAUGUCAUAGAACACCGAUAGCGAAGGCAGCUUACUAAGUCAGUAUUGACACUGAGGCACGAAAGCGUGGGGAGCGAACAGGAUUAGAUACCCUGGUAGUCCACGCUGUAAACGAUGAUUACUCGCUAUUGGCGAUACACUGUCAGUGGCUAAGCGAAAGUGAUAAGUAAUCCACCUGGGGAGUACGAUCGCAAGGUUGAAACUCAAAGGAAUUGACGGGGGCCCGCACAAGCGGAGGAACAUGUGGUUUAAUUCGAUGAUACGCGAGGAACCUUACCUGGGCUUAAAUGUAGAUUGCAUAACUUAGAAAUACUUUUCCUUCGGGGCUAUUUACAAGGUGCUGCAUGGUUGUCGUCAGCUCGUGCCGUGAGGUGUCGGGUUAAGUCCCAUAACGAGCGCAACCCCUAUCGUUAGUUGCCAGCGGAUAAUGCCGGGGACUCUAGCGAGACUGCCACCGUAAGGUGUGAGGAAGGUGGGGAUGACGUCAAGUCAGCACGGCCCUUAUGUCCAGGGCUACACACGUGUUACAAUGGUCGGUACAAAGGGCAGCUACCUGGUGACAGGAUGCUAAUCUCAGAAACCGAUCUCAGUUCGGAUCGAAGUCUGCAACUCGACUUCGUGAAGUUGGAUUCGCUAGUAAUCGUAUAUCAGCAACGAUACGGUGAAUACGUUCCCGGGCCUUGUACACACCGCCCGUCAAGCCAUGGAAGCCGGUUCUGCCCGAAGUAUGUGAGUCAACCGCAAGGAGACAGCGUCCUAAGGUGGGGCUGGUGAUUGGGAUGAAGUCAUAACAAGGUAACCGUA
rnacentral:rRNA from 1 species